rnacentral:rRNA from 1 species
UACGUAGGGUGCAAGCGUUAAUCGGAAUUACUGGGCGUAAAGGGUGCGCAGGCGGUUUUGUAAGUCAGAUGUGAAAUCCCCGGGCUUAACCUGGGAACUGCGUUUGAAACUACAAGACUAGAGUGUGGCAGAGGGGGGUGGAAUUCCAUGUGUAGCAGUGAAAUGCGUAGAGAUAUGGAAGAACAUCGAUGGCGAAGGCAACCCCCUGGGUUAACACUGACGCUCAGGCACGAAAGCGUGGGGAGCAAACAGGAUUAGAUACCCUGGUAGUCCACGCCCUAAACUAUGUCAACUAGUUGUCGGGCCUUAAUAGGCUUGGUAACGCAGCUAACGCGUGAAGUUGACCGCCUGGGGAGUACGGUCGCAAGAUUAAAACUUAAAUGAAUUGACGG